GCAUAAAGAAGACCAUAAGCUGAUAUCAUUCAAUUCACUUAAAUAAAUUAUAGGAGUCUUGUCAAGGUCAUAGGAUUGGAAGGCACUCUAAUUGUAAGAAGUAAACCUGCUACUUAUAUUCUUGCCAAGCAAGGAAACAGUACAUCUAUCACAAAUGUGAUAGGAAAAAAACAAACAGCAAUUCCUUUCACCACCUGUAGCCCUUCUGAGCAACUUUGAUCAUAAUGAUUUCCAGCCAAGUAGCAAACAACCUUAUCAACUAAGGACUCUUAACAUGUCAUAUGGACUCUUAACAUGUCAUAUUACAGCUAAAUUAAAAUCACUUCCAGCUAAUGAAAUGCAAUUAUUUCCUAAAACUCAAUUAUAAACAAUGUUUCAAAUGUAGCUGGUUGCACCACCAUAAUAAUUG
rnacentral:lncRNA from 1 species